GAUAUAUAUAAGUUAUAAUUGAAACCCUAGUUAUAAGAAAAGAGAACUUAGGUUUCCAUUUUGGUUUUCCCGAAUCCUUUCCCUCUCCUCACCUUUCUCGUGCGACGACGGCGACCUCUUUUUCCCGGUCCUUCUUCCUCCGCCCGACGGCGGCCUGCCACGCAGACAGCCACGCAUGUAGAGGCCGACGCCCCGACAACCUUAUGCUCUUCUCCCAGCGACCUCCUCUGUCCGAUGUCGUGCCUUCCUCCGCCGCCCUUCUCCCUGCGACUCCCUGUGACCGACACUGUCAGAGCCGCAUCGCCACUUCCAGCCGUUCACAUCCAGGUAGUAGGGUCGGGGUGGGGGUUGCCAGAGGUUGAGACGUUGUCGACUGCCCCAAACCCAUUGAGAUCCGUUGCCUCUGCCAGCCUCGGUCAGCCACUGCCGAAGAAGAAGAAGCCAAGGUGAGGUUGGUGAGUUAACCCUCAUCCAAGAAGGCACCAUCACCGAAGCCUAAUUCCUCUCUUCCUCCUUUCGCGUGCGCGACAAUUCUGCUUGAGCUAAUCGGAAAGCUCUCUUCGGUUGUAAGUCCAAGAACACGAAGGAUACAGGAAAGGAAAAGAUUUAGCAACAAAAGGCGACAAGGUGGCGCGGAUGAUGUGUGAUGCCAGGACUAUGGAAGUCUUGGGACAUAGUUUAGGAAUUUGUUAGAUAAAUUCUGUAUAUAAGUUGAUAAGAAAAUUUUGGAGUAGGAAGCUGUAAUUUAUUUUGUUCCGCUAUUCAUUACUUGCAUGAUUUGAUUUUAUUAAACUGCGUGGUGAUGUUA